AGUGAACGCUGGCGGUAGGCCUAACACAUGCAAGUCGAACGGCAGCACAGUAAGAGCUUGCUCUUACGGGUGGCGAGUGGCGGACGGGUGAGGCAUACAUCGGAAUCUACUUUUUCGUGGGGGAUAACGUAGGGAAACUUACGCUAAUACCGCAUACGACCUACGGGUGAAAGCAGGGGAUCUUCGGACCUUGCGCGAUUGAAUGAGCCGAUGUCGGAUUAGCUAGUUGGCGGGGUAAAGGCCCACCAAGGCGACGAUCCGUAGCUGGUCUGAGAGGAUGAUCAGCCACACUGGAACUGAGACACGGUCCAGACUCCUACGGGAGGCAGCAGUGGGGAAUAUUGGACAAUGGGCGCAAGCCUGAUCCAGCCAUACCGCGUGAGUGAAGAAGGCCUUCGGGUUGUAAAGCCCUUUUGUUGGGAAAGAAAAGCAGCAGAUUAAUACCCCGCUGUUCUGACGGUACCCAAAGAAUAAGCACCGGCUAACUUCGUG
rnacentral:rRNA from 1 species